CCUACGGGAGGCAGCAGUGAGGAAUAUUGGUCAAUGGGCGUAAGCCUGAACCAGCCAAGUCGCGUGAGGGAUGAAGGUUCUAUGGAUCGUAAACCUCUUUUAUAAGGGAAUAAAGUGCGGGACGUGUCCCGUUUUGUAUGUACCUUAUGAAUAAGGAUCGGCUAACUCCGUGCCAGCAGCCGCGGUAAUACGGAGGAUCCGAGCUUUAUCCGGAUUUAGUGGGUUUACAGGGUGCGUAGGCGCCCUUUUAAGUCGGCGGUGAAAGUCUGUGGCUCAACCAUAGAAUUGCCGUUGAAACUGGGAGGCUUCAGUAUGUUUGAGCCAGGCGUAUUGCGUGUUGUAGCGGUGAAAUGCU
rnacentral:rRNA from 1 species